rnacentral:ribozyme from 1 species
AACCUUGUAUGGUUUUGGUGGUUAAUUCCUCUCCCUUUUUCUCUUCUUCUUCUUCAUCCUUCCUUCUUCUUCCUGUUUUAUCCUUCGAAAUCUGUUUAUUAUGUUCCCUCAAAUGAUAAGAAAAGGCGAAAGAGAAGUUGCUUUCGUCUUUUUCUUUCCCCCCUAACUUUUGACAAAAACAAAAACAAAAGUAAAAUAUCUUCAAUU